GGGGACGUAGCUCAAUUGGGAGAGCGCCUGCUUUGCAAGCAGGAGGUUGCCGGUUCGAUCCCGGUCGUCUCCA
rnacentral:tRNA from 1 species